rnacentral:piRNA from 1 species
UCNCAGGAUGUCUAUGGCUUUCUGGCAGU